UGGGCUGUGGAUCUCCUCGGAUCCAUGGCACAGCGUAAAUAACUCCUCCAGGCACUGUUCCCUCCUACAGCCCUGCUUGCCUCCAGUUCCGCGUCACCAUCCCCUGCAACCUCUCCCAUUCACCACGUCUGGAUUUUAAAAUGCUCACCAAUGACAAAUCUGGAUAUGAUUUUUGGACUACCUCCCACAGCCAUCACUUUUGACGAGGAAGGAAAGUUCACUGCUUUUCCAGGGUAAAACAAGCCAAAUAUUCUUCAGGAAAUCUAGAAGUGUGUGUGGGGAGGGGGUUCUGCCCCUUCCUCCUCCAAGCCAUUUUUGCCUUAAUAUUUAGCUCCUCUCAUCGUUCAAGGACUUUAAUUAAACUUCCUU
ensembl:lncRNA